rnacentral:rRNA from 1 species
AACGAACGCUGGCGGCGUGGAUAAGACAUGCAAGUCGAACGGGAUCAUUGGAGUAGCAAUACAACAGUGGUCUAGUGGCGAACGGGUGCGUAACACGUGGAUACAUUCCGGGAAGCGGGGGAUAGCCCAGGGAAACUUGGAUUAAUACCGCAUGUGGUCGAAAGACUAAAGGCAGGGACCGCAAGGCCUGCCACUUCCCGAUUGGUCCGCGGCCUAUCAGCUAGUUGGCGGGGUAAAAGCCCACCAAGGCUACGACGGGUAGCUGGUCUUAGAGGACGACCAGCCACACUGGAACUGAGACACGGUCCAGACACCUACGGGUGGCAGCAGUCGAGAAUCUUUCACAAUGGGGGCAACCCUGAUGGAGCGACGCCGCGUGGAGGAUAAGGUCUUCGGAUUGUAAACUCCUGUCAUGUGUGAACAAGGCUGUCGUGUUAAUAGCAUGGCAGAUUGAUGGUAACACAAGAGGAAGAGAACGGGCUAAACUCUGUGCCAGCAGCC